rnacentral:rRNA from 1 species
UACGGAGGGUGCAAACGUUGCUCGGAAUCAUUGGGCGUAAAGCGCACGUAGGCGGCCUGUUAAGUCGGGUGUGAAAGCCCUGGGCUCAACCCAGGAAGUGCACUCGAAACUGGCGGGCUUGAAUAUGGAAGAGGGUCGCGGAAUUCCCGGUGUAGAGGUGAAAUUCGUAGAUAUCGGGAGGAACACCAGUGGCGAAGGCGGCGCCUGGGCCAAUAUU